CGGGAUGUAGCGCAGCCCGGUAGCGCGCGUCGUUCGGGACGACGAGGCCGGAGGUUCGAAUCCUCUCAUCCCGA
rnacentral:tRNA from 1 species